rnacentral:rRNA from 1 species
UACGGAGGGGCUAGCGUUGUUCGGAAUUACUGGGCGUAAGCGCACGUAGGCGGCUUGUAAGUUAGAGGUGAAAGCCCGGGCUCAACUCCGGAAUUGCCUUUAAGACUGCAUCGCUAGAAUUGUGGAGCAGGUAAGUGGAAUUCCGAGUGUAGAGGUGAAAUUCGUAGAUACUGGAAGAACACCAGUGGCGAAGGACGACUUA